rnacentral:rRNA from 1 species
GUGGGGAAUAUUGGACAAUGGGCGAAAGCCUGAUCCAGCAACGCCGCGUGAGGGAUGACGGCCUUCGGGUUGUAAACCUCUUUCAGCAGGGACGAAGCGAAAGUGACGGUACCUGCAGAAGAAGGACCGGCCAACUACGUGCCAGCAGCCGCGGUAAUACGUAGGGUCCGAGCGUUGUCCGGAAUUAUUGGGCGUAAAGGGCUCGUAGGCGGUCUGUCGCGUCGGGAGUGAAAACUCAGGGCUCAACCCUGAGCGUGCUUCCGAUACGGGCAGACUAGAGGUAUGCAGGGGAGAACGGAAUUCCUGGUGUAGCGGUGGAAUGCGCAGAUAUCAGGAGGAACACCGGUGGCGAAGGCGGCUACCUGGUCGAGUACUGACACUGAGACACGAAAGCAUGGGGAUCAAACAGGAUUAGAAACCCCAGUAGUCC